GCAAAUCAGCAGCAGGCCCUCCCUCCCAGACCCUCCCACCUCCUGGACAGCUCACUAAGAAUGCAGCUUCACAAUGAAUGUAAAAUAGAUGCUGUCCAGGAGGUGGGAGGGUCUGGGAGGGAGGGUCUGCUGCUGAUUGG
rnacentral:miRNA from 1 species